UAUGUGGCCAGGAUCCCCUGGGAAACCAAAAGCACACAUGGUUGCCAGAGAGUCUAACUUUGUGACUCAGAAAUUGCCAUCUGCGAAACAGCUUUUAAUUGAAGCUCCAAGAGGCAGAAGGGGGCUGGAAAAAUCUUGCAAGUUGAUCCAAUAGGAUUAUCCUCUCUAAAGGAGAUUUUCCUAUGUUUAAUUCGUUGGAAGCCAUUUUGUCACAGACUGAUUAUUCGCGUGUCAGCCCUUUUGGUGCCCUGGCCCCUCCGCCCUGUGCUUGAGUCCCACAGAUUCUUUAGUAGCAGCCUGUGAUUUGUUUUUUCUGGAGGCUGUGCUGCCCAUCCUCUGAGGCACCUUGUUACAGAAGCCUUUCCUCCACCACUCAGGAAACAGGUCAGGCUCGGUGAGCAGCUUUCCAGCUGUUUGUUCUGUAAUGGUUCCAGUGAACGAGAGGCACUGCGGUCCAAGAAAAUGUCCUGGAGCACCAGUGGGUUCUGGGCUGCUGGCUGAGGGCCACUUGGUAUGCUGUGCCACUGAGCUCUCAGCCGGAAUUUCACCUUGGCUAAAUAUUCCUCUCUCAAUCCACUAAUUCCCCAGAAAGGAGACUGUGGACGCACCAUGCCAUUGAAGAACAAUAGAGGAACUGUGGGCUGGGUAUUUGGGAAGAUUCCUGCAGAGGAGGCCAUUGUUCAGGGACCUGGCAUCAUGAUCAGGAUGCGGGCUGUGCGAUUUUUCUCUGAGGAGCUCUAGAAGCCUUGAACCAUGGACUUCAUAGUAUCUUGACUUUUUAGCUAAGUCCACGUGAGAGGUUGCAAAUGAAUGGUCAGUAGGCUGAACACUACCUCCAGGAGUGUUUUGUUUAGCUUGCAUGGUGUUUAAACAUUUUUUGAGUAAGUCACCAACAUUUUAAGAUUGGGAGAUUAAAAAUUUUAGAUUUCUAAUGUCUCUUGAAAAAAAGCAAAGGAAAGAUCUGGCAACGGCAUCACUGACAUCCCAUUCUUGCCACAGUCCGUCAGAAGCUGGAGAUUUACACUGGGCACCCAUUCCCUGGGCUUUCAUCCCACUGCUCCCUAUUGCCUAGUACUCAGUGGGCUU
rnacentral:lncRNA from 1 species